rnacentral:misc_RNA from 1 species
GAGCUCAGAGAUUGACGUGUGGAUUUACAGUACAGUCGUGUGGUGGGAGUGAACGAGUGAACAUAUUAGCCUUUCACUCCUAACCACCAGAAAAGGCUUGAGUCAACGAGUGAAAAUAUUUUACCUUUCACUCUCAGCCACCGGAACAACGGGUGUAAUAAAGUGUAAGAGUGACGAAGUAGUUUCUCUCAACCGCCAAAGGAGUUCUGAGAGUGAAAAGAGUAAAGGUUUCUGAGAGUGAAAUGAGUUCUGAAAGUGAAUAAGGAUUUAAAGGGCUCCAGUAACACGAAAAGGAACAAAAAGUAACAAUAUAGGCGAAAUAAUUUAAGUAACACCAACAGGAGUAAAAAUAACAAUGGAAUAAGUAACUACGUAGCAAUACUAACGGGUGAUGCAAGUAACAAGGACGACAGUGGCAGUAGCAAGAGGGCCAAGCAGGAAAACAUGGGAGAGUGGUGCCAUGUUGUGUGGUUGGCACUCAUGAUGGUGUUGAUAUGGUGGGUGAAGCUCAGUGACGGCGGAUGGAGCUCUAACAACUACCCUUCGGAGGCAGUGAAGGGAGAGGACUCUGUGGUGGUCUAUACUACAGGUCCCCUAGGAGAGGAUGGGGAUCAAAAGACUGAGCAGCAUUAUACCCCGAGGUCCUCAUACCCCAUGUGUCGUAUGGGUUUCCGCAUCAGGGACUACUACCCGACGCAGGACAGCUACUACCAGAACCAGACGUGUUUCUGGUGCUACCACUUCGUUCCCGCCCACAGGAGAAGCCACAACCUGCAGAUCGUGCGAGAGGUGAUUACCCUCGAUGACAACAAGCCCAAACACCUGUAUGACUACAUGUUUAAGGCCGAGAACGAGACUUACCACUUCAACCCUGACUCAGAGGCGUGGGAGUACGUGGUGGAGUCCAUGUUGGAUGUACUGGAGGCCCACAAGGUAGAGGAAUGCUGCAGGGAUGCCAUGACCUGCUGCCAACAAGCACUGGAUGAUCUUCCAGGUGACCCGGGGGACUGUCCGCGUACCUGGGACGGUUGGACCUGCUUCUCUGACACACCUCCUGGGAGCACUGUCACCUUCACCUGUCCACACAUCGGCUACAAGGGCUACCCAGAGUGUGCAAUGGAGGGGAGGAAAGAGUGCUGGGAGAACGGCACCUGGGCAAUAGACAGCUAUGGCGUAGAGCUCACCGACUACUCCUCCUGCAGCCACAAGCAGUACCACCUGACGAACUACUACUGGGAGGCCUCCAUGCAUGUCCUCUCCAUCUUAACUCUCCUACCUGCCAUCUUCCUCAUCCUCUUCUACAGACAGCUACGUAUUCAGAGGAUGUAUCUACACCUUAAUUUCUUCUUUGCCCUCCUCGGUAAAGCCUUCUUCAACCUCCUCGAUGCACUUGUCCUCAGGGUACCCGAAUAUACUGGGACCAACACCCUAGUGGAUGACAACACAGGGGGGUGUAAGUUGUUGGUGUUCCUGGCCAAGAUGUUCGGCCUGGCUGUGUGGACCUGGAUGUUAGCCGAGAGCAUAUAUCUUCACCGUCUCAUCGUCGCCGCCUUCAAGGGUGGGGGCAAGACUUACGUUUAUCUCAUUAUUGGUUGGGUACCGGCGGUGGUGCUGAGUGUGGUGUGGGCCGUGUGCCGUGCGGUGCUGGAGGACUACCAGUGUUGGCUGGGGGAUGAUGCCAACAAUGCCACCAACCUUUUCCUCAUCACAGAGCUACCCAAGAUGUUCAUAAUUAUUGUGAACACUGUCCUGCUAGCUAACACAACCCGGGUCCUCCUCACCAAGCUCAGGGGCGUCAACAACGACAACUCCACCGCCACCAGGACUGCAGUCAAGGCCACGGCAUUCCUGCUCCCCAUGUUUGGUCUACAGUUCUUUAUCACCUUCUACAUCCCAUCAGAGUCCCACACCUGUACCACCAUGCAGGUGUACAUGUUCAUAGCGAUGGGUCUUGAUGGGCUCCAGGGCUUCUAUGUGGCCAUUGUCUACUGCUUCCUCAACAAGGAGGUGAAGCUACAGGUGCGUCGAUCAGUGUACCACUUACGAGGUCGCAUGGCCACAGAGAUGGGCACUGCGACAUAUGACCCACGCACAGAUGUCAGUCUCCUGCAUAGUGGAGCUGUCAACUCUGUUGCCACCACUGCCUCUGUUGUUGACUGAUGAUGUCACAGCUGGCACUACUGAUAUCCUUUGAGUGAUUGCUGAAGACCUUUCUGCUGCUGAUGUUUUGUAUUUAUUAAUGACAUAUGACCACCAUCAACUGAUGAGUUAUUAAUGACAUUCAGUGGGUAAUUAAGGACAUGUCUUGACUUACUGAUGGGCCAGGUGAUGACCACAGUGACCUCUCCUGUCUUUUCUUUCAUCUGUAGAUACAUGUAAACGUUCUCUGAUUAAUCUUUGCUGACACUUACUGACAUCCUCUGGUGAAUAAUGACACACAAAGUCUUUGCUGACUAUGUCUUCAGAUACUUGCUAACAUCCUUUCAUUAUUGCUGACACACGGGCAUUUACUGACACCUGGUGACUUAAGAUGGUACACUCUUGUGAGAAGUACCUUAGAGAAACACCACUAGUGGACUAAGAAUGACAGCCUUUGUGUUUAUGUAGUUAGAAGCCAACAGACUUUAUAAUGGUCUACUGAUAGGUCACACAUGACAUGUUAGAAUUCUAUAGUAAACAGAAAGAUGUUCUCUCUCUCUCUUUCUCUCUCUCAGCUUUUAGGUCAGGGCUCAUUGUUGUGCCUGUGAUGAGUCUAGUGUUUGGUCUUCCUAUCAAGCAAGGAGUGUGUACAUGUGAACAAGAAGUUAGGCUUCAUACAAGAACCCUCCUACAGUAUUUUAAGUUGGCCGAUACCUCAGAAAGUAACAAGUUAGGGGAAGGAAGCCAGGGGUUCCUUUAACCCCCAUAUUGUUCCUAAGGAGAUCUUUCAUGAGUCUGGUAUUGGCAAAAGAGGAAACCAGAGCACCCUAAGAAAACCUGUAAUGCUCAGAAGGGUCAGACUGAACAACAACACCCUUCCCACACCCUGGCCACAAUAGUGAGAGACUGUGUGAACGUCGUAAUGAUGAGCUGAUCUUGAGACCAGCACCAAGACAUUGAGGAGAAAACGGAAGGAUAGGCGACUUGCGCUUGGGUAUGGAUGGCGGUGUAUUGCUGCUGUUGACAUAGACCACAG